rnacentral:rRNA from 1 species
CCAAACUGUUGCCUCGGCGGGAUCUCUGCCCCGGGGGCUUCCAACCCCCGGACCAAGGCGCCCGCCGAAGGACCAACCAAAAUUCUUUUUGUAUACCCCCUCGGGGGUUUUUUUUUUACUGAUCUUUCUCGGCGCCUCUCUGAGGCGUUUCUAAAAUGAAUCAAAUUUUUCAACUCCGGAUCUCUUGGUUCUGGCAUCGAUGAAGAUAAGUAAUGUGAAUUAUAAGUUUGUGAAUUGAUCAAUUCUUUGAAUCAUCAAAUCUUUGAACGCACAUUGCGCCCGCCAGUAUUCUGGCAGGCAUGCCUGUCCCAGCGUCAUUUCAACCCUCGAACCCCUCCGGGAGGUCGGCAUUGGGGAUCACCCCUGCCUUGGAGGUGGCCGUCUGGCAAAUACAGUGGCGGUUCUCCGCACCCUCUCCUGCACAAUUCUUUGCACACUCCCCUCGGGAGCGCGGCGCGACCACACCCGUUAUAUGACCAACUUCUGAAAUGUUGACCUCGAAUCCCGUAGGAAUACCCGCUGAACUUAAACAUAUCAAUAAGCGGAGGAAA